AAUCAACGCUGGCGGCGUGCUUAACACAUGCAAGUCGAGCGCGAAAGCGGCUUCGGUCGUUAGUAGAGCGGCGGACGGGUGAGGAACACGUGGGUAACCUACCCUCGGGUGGGGAAUAACCCAGGGAAACCUGGGCUAAUUCCGCAUAACAUCUUUAGCUCACAAGAGUUUUAGAUCAAAGCUGGGGACCCUUCGGGGCCUGGCGCCUGUGGAGGGGCCCGCGGCCGAUUAGCUUGUUGGUGAGGUAACGGCUCACCAAGGCUCCGAUCGGUAGCCGGCCUAAGAGGGCGGACGGCCACACUGGGACUGAGACACGGCCCAGACUCCUACGGGAGGCAGCAGUGGGGAAUUUUUGUCAAUGGGGGAAACCCUGAACAAGCAACGCCGCGUGGAGGACGAAGACCCUCGGGUCGUAAACUCCUGUCGGAGGGGACGAAAGCGGUUGCGGUUAAUACCCGUAGUCGUUGACGGUACCCUACGAGGAAGCCCCGGCUAACUCCGUG
rnacentral:rRNA from 1 species